CCAGACUCCUACGGGAGGCAGCAGUGGGGAAUAUUGCACAAUGGGGGGAACCCUGAUGCAGCGACGCCGCGUGAGUGAAGAAGUAUUUCGGUAUGUAAAGCUCUGUCAGCAGGGAAGAAGAAAGACGGUACCUGACCAAGAAGCCCCGGCUAACUACGUGCCAGCAGCCGCGGUAAUACGUAGGGGGCAAGCGUUAUCCGGAUUUACUGGGUGUAAAGGGAGCGUAGACGGCAGGGCAAGUCUGGAGUGAAAGGCAGGGGCCCAACCCCUGGACUGCUCUGGAAACUGUCCGGCUGGAGUGCAGGAGAGGUAAGUGGAAUUCCUAGUGUAGCGGUGAAAUGCGUAGAUAUUAGGAGGAACACCAGUGGCGAAGGCGGCUUACUGGACUGUAACUGACGUUGAGGCUCGAAAGCGUGGGGAGCAAACAGGAUUAGAUACCCCCGUA
rnacentral:rRNA from 1 species